AGGCUGAUUAACAUGCAAGCUCAGGUGUGGCAAAACUCCCCUAACAUUUUUCAUUAGUUCUAAGUAACGGAUUAAUGGAUUAAUUGACUCCAUUCCUAUAUCGGCGCUGGAGGUGAGACUCCUAAUGGGUUGCCAUUCAUCUACCGACUGACACGACCAGCCUUUCAAAAGGGCACCGGGUCCUAGAACAGAAAACAGAAAAAUAAGGGAGCUGUGAAGAGUGGAACAGGCUGAAGACUUCAUAGGAGACCACGACACAAGGAAGCCAACGAACUAUAGAGCCACAUGUUCCCUCCAGUGACGGCAGCAGACAACUGAACCUGUUUCCGAGUCACUUCCUGAACUUGUCUGAUGUGUGUUUCUAUUAGACUCAGGCUGAAUCUACAGAGCUGUUCCUGCCUAUGGGAGUUCUGCACCUCGGUGGUGACCAAUCCACUGCUUAUCACCUUCACUCUGGGUUGUCUCCCUUAACCCUCUCCUGCCAUGCCUUGAUGUUCAAAAGAAAGAAAAAGGAGAAUAAGGGGAGGCAAGGUGUUUGUUGCCCUUAGUGGCUGGGGUUCAAAUGGGAUCGUUCUUCACAGGGCUCCACCGCCCUUACACCCUGCCCUUACCACACCUACAUAGGCACUGGCACCUGACCUACCUCUGGGUCUCGUCCUCCCAAUAAUGGUAUAUUGAGGUUUGGUAACCAACCAGUUGUCUUCGUAGCAAUCACCCAGUUUUACCCUUACUUCAGUGGGGUGUGGUUUACACCUCUAAUUGGUGCCUGCUCUCACAUUAUCAAUUUUCAUUGAGCUAUAUCAAUCAACUAAUGCCCCGUCCUUGGCUCAUAUCAAUUGCCUACCAUCACUCAUUAGGUUUAUCAAUUCAUUUCUAACCUAUCCCUCUUUGGGAUGAUCAGUUUUAGAGUCUGUCAGCUUCCCCCCUAUCAGUGUCUCAACAGUCUAGUCCAAUUCACUGGCUUUCCAGCCUCAGGUCAUCAAUUCCCCUCCUCAGUGCAUUAGGUCCAGUAAGGCCUGGCCUCUUACUUGAGUCUCUAUAGGGCUGAAGCCCCUCACUUGCCAGCCUAUAUCUCUAAGCCAUAUCCAAUAUCCCAGGGCAUAAAACUGUUUAAAUCUCCAUUUUGCCAGUCCAAAUAGCUCUUCCCUUUACUGGUCUUUAAGAGUUGUCUUGUCAGUGGAUGAGUGCAGCGUCCUGCUUUGCGAAAUUCCACUUGCGGUCCGUCAGUGCAGCUUCUCUUGGCAACUCUGCACUUUCACACAGCUUGCAAAAGUUCUUCCUCCCUGGUGGUUCCCCUCUCUGGGGGAUCUUCAAUUCUGCUGGCAUCCCCUUUAACUUCUGGCUGGGCUCCCUCCAGCCAGUAGGAGCUGGCUCCAGUUUCCCAUGACCCGGAUUCACCCUGCGUCAGGCAUGUAGCAUGCCAUGCCCAUCUCAGGCUCUGUCAGUGCUGCUCCCUUAGCCACGCUAUCUGCCUGGCUUCCCCCAGUAAGUUCUCCCAUGUGUUCAGGUCCGACGAGACAACCCAGACCAUAACAGAGCCUGUGGCCAGUGCCCUGUUACACUGCCCAACACUGGGUGAUCCCAGCAGUAAGCACUUCUGGGCCCUUUCCCUGGUGUUAAGAACUGCACCGAUCCUGUUCGUCCCAUGAUCACCCGUGACAAAGAUUUCAUCAUCAUGAACUAGUCAAUGACUGCAUUGGCAAUACCAUCCAGAAAGCACUAUGGAUGCCAGCUCACCCCCUCCAAGCACUGCAGACAGCGUGCGACUGAAUAGGAGCCUGAAAUCUUUAGUGUUGGAAAAGCAAACAUCUGUUGGGAACAGCUACAUCCCUUUUGGAUACUCUCAGACUUUUAAACUAUCGCUGCAUUACAAGGUCUUUUACGAGAGACAUCAAGUUUGCGAUUUUUAUAAACAUCCACAAAGGAGAAGUUGAGGAAAGUACAAAUGAGUUUCACCUCAGUUUUAAUUACUAUAAUUUUCUCUCGUAAUGGUAAUUUCUGUAAUUAAUGGCUGCAUUUUUCUAUUGUGGCGGUAUUUGGAGAUGACACGAAAUGAGCAAGUGUUUUUGUUUCCGUGACAAAAAGAGAAAAUUAGCUGGUGAAAUGCUGAUCAGAAGUGUUUGGUGGGAGGGGUGUGGGAAGAAAGGGCUGAUAACAAGUUUUGCAUCCAUGUUUCUUUGCCACAUUAUCUGUGCAUUAAUGGAGCUAAGCUGCAGCCUCAGUAAGGAUGCUGUGCCAUGCAGAAAGCCCUCAGCAUCUAAUGUCAUCAUCCAAUAUUUGCCUCUGCAGCUUAGCAGUGUAGAGACAAUCUAUUGCAAUUAAACACUGGAUGGCAGUAAUCUCGGUUCAAAUCCCAACUCUGCUGUAGCCAUCUUGGGUGACCACUUAACUGCUCUUUGCUUUUAGUUCCAUACCUCUGCUACAGAGAAAACAAUAAUGACAUAAAAAUUGCUGUAUUGCAUCAGACCAAACCCUGUCAGGCCAGGCCUCUCUUGGUUUGCUAUCUGGUACCAUGUAAACCAGUAGUUUAUUCCAUGGUCAGGUUGGGGGUGACUAAACCGGUGCCUCCACCUGGGCUAGCCUGGGUGAGGAGGGUGUGCGGACCCCAGCGGGACUAAAAACUAGACUUGUCAAAGUGCAGAUUAGCUCAUCGUGUGCCAAUGGCCAUCCAUACCUGGAGAGGAGAUGGGCGCCACCAGGUCACUCAACAGAAUCACCAAUGGUGCAGAGCAACUCAACUAACCUAGGAGGGGUGUUACAGCAUACAAGGUGCCCCAAUGGUUGCAGUGGCCUCAGGACUGACUUGACCUGACUCGAUCAGACCAAAGGCUGGGCUGGUCCAGUCAUAGUGGACGCUCUCAAAGGAGAGUACACUUAUACAGGGUGCGUGUAGCGUGAUCCAUCCCCAUCCCAGCCAGCAGUAGAUUACAUCCUUCACUAUUGUGUUUAAUGCCUCUUGACGGACCUGCUCUCCACACCUUUAUCUAGCCCUUUUUUGACGUUUGGAAAUGCGAUAUGAACAUUGCUACCCGGAGAACCCAAGCACUGAAUUGUCUCCAAUGGCAUCCUGACACAUGACAAGGCAUCAAUCGUUUCAAGCAAACUUGCCUCACUAUGGAGUGUGAUAGAAGAGCAACAAAGGGAAGCAGCUGCGACCUGACAUCUCCACGAUCUUCUCCUUUCUCCAAGAACUAGUUGUCAUGUCUGCAGUUGAACAUGAGGAUCCUGGAUCAGCCCCUUCAGUCAUCUAUGGACUCAUCGAUGACUUUCCUGUUUACUGGAAGACUGUCAUCCUUGUACUGAGGGACUGCCGACAAAAACAGCAACCUAUAUUUGAACCUGCUGGUGCUACUGGCCUCUGCAAGGCUUUGUGGCACUGAGCUUCAUAUCUUAACUAGACGCUGUGUAAAAAAGAAGCUCCUUAUAUUUGUUUUAAACCUGUUGCUUGGUAAUUCCAACAGGUGACCCUCUUGCUUGUAUAUGAAGAAAUAGUGAAUAACGGUUCCCAGGUCGUUUUUUUCUAUACUGGUCAAGAUUUUAUUGACUUCUCUCAUACCUAUUUUCAUUGGUCUGUUUUCCAAGGUGAAGUGUCCCCAGCCACUUCAGGCUGUCCUCAUAGGGAAACUAUUGCAAACCCCUCAUCGCCCAUGUUGUCCUGCUCAUCAUCUUUUCCCGUCCCAUUGUUUUGAGAAGAGGUGACACCGCACUCAAGAUGUGGGCACAUUGUGGGGUUAUAUAGUGGCAUAGCAAAGUUCCUCUUUGUUUCCUAGCCAAAGCAUUCUUACCAUUUUAUUUGCCUUCCUAGUCCUCUUUCCUGUCGACGGGGUAUGAGCUCCCAGAAGGGCGCCAUUUCUUAGCAUGUUUGCACAGAACCUAGCACCACCAAACCUCGAUUCGGAGAGAAACCUCCAUGUUGCUUCCGCUGCUUCUCCUUGUUGGAGAUGAUGAUAAUACUAUCGACAAUGAUGAUGACAAAGAUUUUCUAGCCUCCUGGCUGUCACUUGGGACUAAAUCCUGUUUCACUGUAACAUGCCCAAGCAGCAAUUAUGUAGUGCGGUAAGUGUGAUUUUUGGCACUUACACAUAUUUUGGAUUCUAUUUCCUCAUGCAGCCACAAUGAAGCCUUCUGAGCCCAUUAAAAAAGCUCCCUUUGGGCCACGCAGGCUCUGGGGUGGAAUAAAAACAUCUGGCUAUGAGUUUAAUGCCACAUAAAUCCCCAAAACUCUAGUCAAAGAAAAUCAUAGAAUCAUAGAAAAUGAGGGUGGGAAGGGACCUCAGGAGGUCACAUCUAGUCCAACCCCCUGCUCCAAGCAAGAACAGUCCCAGCUACAUCAUCCCAGAGAAAGUUCUGUCUAGCCAGGUCUUGAAAGCCUUCAAGGAUGGAGAUUGCACCACUUCUCUGGGUAACCUGUUCCAGUGCUUCACUACCCUCCUAGUGACAACAUUCUUCCUAUUAUCCAACCUCAACUUCCCUUGCUGCAACCUGAGCCCAUUGCUCCUUGUCCUGUCAUCUGCCCCCACUGAGACCAGCCCAGCUCCAUCCUCUUUGCAGCCCCCCUGCAGGGAGGUGAAGGCUGCUAUUCAAUCCCCCUAAAUCUUCUCUUCUGCAGACUCAAUCAGCCCAUUUCCCUCAGCCUCUCCUGACCAUUCAUGUCCCCCAAACAUUUUUGUUGCCCUCCACUGGACUGUCCCAAAUUUUUCCACGUCCUUUCUGUAGUGGUUGGCCCAAAUCAAAACUGGACACAGGACUGCAGAUGUGGCAUCACCAGUGCUAAACAGAAGGGGAUAAUCACUUCCCUUGACCUGCUAGCAACACACAGCCCAGGAUGCCAUUAGCCAUCUUGCCAACAAGGGCGCACUGCUGGCUCAUAUUCAGCUUCUUGUCCCCUGUCACCCCCAGGUCCUUUUCUGCAGAGCUGCUGCCCAGCCCGUCACCCCUAGCCUGUCUCAAUGCAUGGGAUUACUCCUUCCUAAGUGCAGGACUUUGCACUUGUCCUUGUUGAACUUCAUGAGAUUUCUUUUGACCCAAUCCUCCAAGUUGUUGAGGUCACUCUAAAUCCUCACCCUACCCUCCAGUGUAUCUACUACUCCCCCCCAGCCUGGUGUCAUCUGCAUACUUGCUGAGGGUGCGCUCUGCCAUCUACCAGGUCAUUGAUGAAGACAUUGAACAAAACUGGCCCCAAGACCAACCCCUGGGGCACAUCACUUGACACCAGCUACCAACUAGACAUCGAGCCAUUUAUUCCUAAUCUCUCAGCCCGAUGCUCCAGCCAGUUUUAUACCCACCUUACAGUCCAUUCAUCCAGCCCGGACUUCCUUAGCUUGCGUGCAAGAAUGUUGUGCGAGACAGUAUCAAAAGCCUUGCUAAAAUCAAGGUACAUCAUACCCACCGGUCUCCCCGCAUCCACAGAUCCAGUCAUCUCAUCACAGAAGGCAAUCAGGUUGGUCAGACAUGGCUUGCCCCGGUGAAUCCAAGAUGACUGUUCCUGAUCACCCUCUUCUCCUCCAAGUGCUCAGAAAUAGGUUCCUUGAGGAUCUGCCCCAUGAUUUUUUCAGGGACUGAGGUGAUGCUGACUGGUCUGUAGUUCCCUGGAUCCUCUUUUUUCCCUUUUUUAAAUAUGGGCACUAUGUUUGCCCUUUUGCAAUCAUCCAGGACCUCUCCUGAUCACCAUGAGUUUUCAAAGAUGUUGGCCAGUGGCUCUGCAAUCACAUCAGCCAACUCCCUCACAGGCGCAUCCCAUCUGGCCCCGUGGACUUAUAUACAUCCAGCUUGUCUAAGUAGCCCCUAACCUGCUCUUUUACCACUGAAGGCUGCUCACCUCCUCCCCAAAUUGUGCUGCCCAGUGCAGAAGUCUGGGAGCUGACCCUUCUGGUUCCCCUUCACAUCCCUUAUAGCUGCAACUCCAAUUGCACUUUGGCCUUCCUGACUUCAUCCCUGCAUGUCCAAGUGAUGCUCUUAUAUUCUUCCCUAGUUAUUUGUCCAAGUGUCCACUUCUUAUAAGCUCCCCUUUUGUGACUUAGUUUACUGAAGAGUUCCCUGCUAAGCCAAGCUAGCCUUCUGCCAUACUUAUUAGUUUUCCUUUGCAUUGGGAUGGCUUGUUCCUGCACUCUCAAUAACAGAGUCAUGUCCAUGCCAAGCCAGGGGCUAGACAUAGCCUGGAGGACUCCCUAGCUCUCUUCUUGAUGUUGUCAAGAGGGGGAGAUAUAUGGGGCCUGAAAGACAGCAAUCCAAAGGGAGCGUGGUUCUGUAGGAGGGCUCGACUCUGACCUUGAUUCCUGACUUCUGGGGAGGAAACCACCAUGCUCCUGUUUAUCCAUUUCCCAUUGGAUUUUAAAUGCAAGAUGUGAAAAUGCCUUUGGAGAUCCAGUGACAAGAACCCAAGCUCCUACCUGCCAGGAGAGUCUGUUCACCUCAAAAAUCUAGUUGCUAAAUAAAAGAUAUCACCUCUAUCACCAGUUCUGAUUCCUUUUGCAUCUAGAGCAAUGCGGCUACAACCUGGAUACCUGGAAAAGCAAGUAUGCUUUUGAACUGGUGCACUGUGAAGCAGGUUCAAUGUUGCAUGUAGACACCAAGCAAUCCAAGACACUGGUUGGAUCAGUCCUCCAGGCAUCCCACAUUGCAUUGCUUCUCAGCCCCCUUCUGGUGUAACUGGCUGCUCUGGUACACAGCCAGAACUCUACUACCGUCUUUUUUUCCCUCUUGUUGUCACUUUUUUUUUUAGAAAUGAGCUCUCUUGCUCAAUAAAAGGUCCCUCAGGUGGUAGUCACCCACCCCAGCGAUCUUCAAAAAGCGUCUUGACGCCCAUCUUGCUGGGGUCAUCUGAUCCCAGUGGUCUUUCCUGCCCCAGUGCAGGGGGGGGGGGGGGCUGGACCCAAUGAUCUGUAAGGUCCCUUUCAGCCCCUAACAUUUAUGAAACUACAAAAGCUAUCUAACAGACACCUGUGUCCUCACUCCCUACCCAACCGCAGCCCAUCAUCAUGCCUCCCCAGCCCAUGGGAACCCACAAAAGCCCAUGGGUCCAAAAAAUCCCCCUCUUCCUGAGCACCCCAAGUCAGGCAAGCGGACUUCAGUCAAGUGUUGGCUACUGAACUCGGUCAAACUCUUGUUUAGGAGAAAAGGGAAAGGAGAAUUGUGAAAACACCCCCAACCACAGCUGAUGCCCUGGCUGGCAUCUUUAGCAGAAGAGCUCAGGAUCAAAUAAGCCCUGGAGACUGAAACCUCUUAGAAGGAUGUGAUCAUAAAACUGUAAUGAUCUGGAAUAUCUGGAAGUUAUUUAGAUUAUCUUAAUACCAUUGCUUAUUCUUCUGCAGCACGCACCUGCUGGGAGUUAGCGUCUAGAGUUAAUUGGCUAGGAACUCCUUGAAUACUUGCAAUCGAAAUUCAUACGUCUCCAAAGACCAACUCACGUUUGUAUUUCCGAGGCCAGAGGAAGGAAGAUAAUGAAGUCCAGGUUUUGCCUGAAACCUUUCCAGAGAGAAGCAGUGACCUCAUCCUUAGUUGGUCACAGCAGGGAGCCAUUAGCUCAUGGGCUUGCUCGUAGUUACACAAAGGAUUCUGGGAUUCCCUGGCUAGACGAUGAUAACAUUUCAUAUUUUAUAGCAGAGGAAAGAUGGCUUUGAGCCUUGAAGUCAGGGGCAAAGCAAAAAGCGUGUCUAUCUUGGUUCUUUGAUGGCUCAGCGAUGUGCCUACCAUGUUAAAAUGGAUGUCUCUCGGAAAUGUCAUCCAUCAGUGCUAUUUGGACUAUAUCUCUCCCUCCGUCAACCGAACUGCGGCACAACGGGCAGCGCUCUUGUCUCCCCGGCUUUUACCUGUGUAAGUUGUAGGACAUUCUUGGUGUUUCAAUAGUUUUCGGUGAGGGUUGGAAGGGGCUGGUUUUGAUUAAUGAUCACCUGUGAACUCAGUGACUCUAGAGGCCCCUUGCAGUCCUAUGCACUUAUGAAUUAUUCCUGAAUUAAUGGAUGUAAGUAAAAAGAGCUCCCUCUGCAUUACUCGCUGGCUUUCCAAAUAGCAUUUCUAUGAAGAAAGACUCCAUCUGAACUCUCCAAAAGAUAUAUAUUAAGCAAUUGUCAAGAGAUAGGUAUCGCAUUGUUUGGCUCUCUACUUAUCCGCUCUCAUGGAUUGGUUAAUGACACAACUAGACGUACGCUCAAUCAUUGCACCUCCGUAACAACGCAGAUCUCUCCCAGACAACGAGCAGCAAAUCUCUAGAUUUUUAAACCUGCAGUUGCUAAACUUCUCCUGAAAUGAUAGGUUUCAAAGGAUGUUAAUUCAUCAGAGUGGGCUGAUUGUACAGUGGUACAAUAAGAAUGAUUAUUCCCGAGCAAAGAACCCAUCACCGUUAUUUUUUUCUCGCUCUCUGUCUUUCUCCAAAAUGUUGAAUUCUAAAAUCAGGGGGUUUUGUAACAGCGGUGUUUAUUUGCAGCGUCUAGUCGUGCACCUCGGGAACUGCGAAGGAGUCGUGUCGAUAGGAAAGAGUCAAAAUAACCAACGAGGUUAAAAUAACUUUCCUACAGCAAAGGCAGCUAAGAACUGGUAGGUCCUUCUACUCGUGGGGGGAGAAAUUCAACAGAUUCAGAUUGAAAUGCAGAAAAACAAUUUUUUCUCCUUUUGCUCCUACAUGUGUCUGGUUUUUUGGUUUUUUUUUAAUAAAGCCUUCCUCAGUUGCA